rnacentral:rRNA from 1 species
AGAGUUUGAUCCUGGCUCAGGAUGAACGCUGGCGGCGUGCUUAACACAUGCAAGUCGAACGAUGACUCUGUGCUUGCACAGAUGAUUAGUGGCGAACGGGUGAGUAACACGUGAGUAACCUGCCCUUGACUCUGGGAUAAGCCUGGGAAACUGGGUCUAAUACUGGAUAUGCACCGUGGACCGCAUGGUUCUUGGUGGAAAGAUUUUAUUGGUCAAGGAUGGACUCGCGGCCUAUCAGCUUGUUGGUGAGGUAAUGGCUCACCAAGGCGACGACGGGUAGCCGGCCUGAGAGGGUGACCGGCCACACUGGGACUGAGACACGGCCCAGACUCCUACGGGAGGCAGCAGUGGGGAAUAUUGCACAAUGGGCGAAAGCCUGAUGCAGCGACGCCGCGUGAGGGAUGACGGCCUUCGGGUUGUAAACCUCUUUCAGUAGGGAAGAAGCGAAAGUGACGGUACCUGCAGAAGAAGCGCCGGCUAACUACGUGCCAGCAGCCGCGGUAAUACGUAGGGCGCAAGCGUUAUCCGGAAUUAUUGGGCGUAAAGAGCUCGUAGGCGGUUUGUCGCGUCUAUCGUGAAAGUCCGAGGCUCAACCUCGGAUCUGCGGUGGGUACGGGCAGACUAGAGUGAUGUAGGGGAGACUGGAAUUCCUGGUGUAGCGGUGAAAUGCGCAGAUAUCAGGAGGAACACCGAUGGCGAAGGCAGGUCUCUGGGCAUUAACUGACGCUGAGGAGCGAAAGCAUGGGGAGCGAACAGGAUUAGAUACCCUGGUAGUCCAUGCCGUAAACGUUGGGCACUAGGUGUGGGGGACAUUCCACGUUUUCCGCGCCGUAGCUAACGCAUUAAGUGCCCCGCCUGGGGAGUACGGCCGCAAGGCUAAAACUCAAAGGAAUUGACGG